rnacentral:rRNA from 1 species
UACGAAGGGGGCUAGCGUUGCUCGGAAUGACUGGGCGUAAAGGGCGCGUAGGCGGCUUGCACAGUCAGGCGUGAAAUUCCUGGGCUCAACCUGGGGACUGCGCUUGAGACGUGUGGGCUUGAGUGGGGAAGAGGGUCGUGGAAUUCCCAGUGUAGAGGUGAAAUUCGUAGAUAUUGGGAAGAACACCGGUGGCGAAGGGCGGCGACCUGGUCCUUGACUGACGCUGAGGCGCGAAAGCGUGGGGAGCAAACAGG